rnacentral:rRNA from 1 species
ACUCCUACGGGAGGCAGCAGUGGGGAAUAUUGCGCAAUGGACGAAAGUCUGACGCAGCGACGCCGCGUGGAGGAUGAAGGUUUUCGGAUCGUAAACUCCUGUCAAGAGGGAAGAAACCUAUCAUGAAUAAUACUCAUGGUAAUUGACGGUACCUCUAGAGGAAGCACCGGCUAAUUCAGUGCCAGCAGCCGCGGUAAUACUGAAGGUGCAAGCGUUAAUCGGAAUCACUGGGCGUAAAGCGCUCGUAGGUGGCUUUGUAAGUCAGGUGUGAAAGCCCACGGCUCAACCGUGGAAUUGCACUUGAUACUGCAUCGCUAGAGUAUAGGAGAGGGAAGUGGAAUUUCUGGUGUAGGAGUGAAAUCCGUAGAGAUCAGAAGGAACACCCGUGGCGAAGGCGACUUCCUGGACUAUUACUGACACUGAGGAGCGAAAGCGUGGGAGC